GAUGACCUGUUCUGAGCACGGGGCAAAGAUGGCGGACAGUGAGAUUGCAGGAGAGUGAACUACAGAAACAAGAAGAUUUCCGAGAAAUAACAUUUGUUAUCGAGGAAAAAAACAUUUUCCCACAAUCUCAGGUGUCGGAAACUCUGUGUCAAGGACCAUACAUAACUACAAGCCAGCUAUGGACAAGACGUCGGUGUCGAUCGGGAUCACUGUGGGCUUCGCCGUGCUGGGCGGUCUGCUCCUGGCCUGUCUCAUCAAGCACCUGUGGGGCAAGAUAAAGUGCCCCAAGUGCAAACGCAAGAAGCCGUCAAUGAAGGAUAAAGUGCUAGAGAAAGUUGGUGUUCAGUCCAAGUCCAAGUCCAAGACAUUCUCCAUCAGCAACAUAGUGGAGAAGAAAUAAGAGCUAGCUGCAGAAUGUAUAGCGUGGCCACAGACUCACCUUUUCUACUCAUUUCCUGUACCUGUGCUUUAGUUCUGACUCACUUCCUCCUGACGCUCUAAAAGCUACCUCUCUCUGACUUUAGCUCCCAUUGGCACGUGUGUGUCCUCAGUCAACUUCUGUCAUGAUGGCCUUUACAUGUUCCUCUUUCUGCUGUGAAUCUUUUUUUGCAUAGACAUAACUUGUGGAUAUCUGUAUAUAUGUAAUAGUUACGACAGGUGGAUUCUCUAGUGUAACAUAAGAGUAGAAUAACUCUAACAGGGUUCGGAUUUUAUUUUAGCUCAAUAGAAGUCGGUGGUCACUUACACAGCAUGAACUCCAUGUUUUGGACAUGUAUUUGACCUUUGCAGGACUCACUCAUAUCUGUUCUUUCUCACGCUAGUGAAAAAAAAAAAAAAUUCCAUUGACUGUCAUGCAAAAAAAAAAGAAAGAAAAGAAAAACACUCCUGGUUUGGUCGGUGUUCUCACACA